AUGAUCCAUUAAACCCAUACAAACAUGCAAAGCAGAUGCAGAAUGUUAAAGAUGGUAACGAUGAAGAGACAUGUGAAUGUGUUAGUGUGCAAUUGUAUACACACACACACAUGUAUACAGGAAGAUAGACAUGUAUCGCGGUCAUAGGAUCGCGGUUUCGAUUCCCAAACCGGGCGUUGUGAGUGUUUAUUGAGCGAAAACACCUAAAGCUCCACGAGGCUCCGGCAGGGGAUGGUGGUGAUCCCUGCUGUACUCUUUCACCACAACUCUCUCUCACUCUUAUUUCCUGUUUCUGUUGUACCUGUAUUUCAAAAGGGCCGGCCUUGUCACUCUCUGUGUCAUGCUGAAUAUCCCUGAGAACUACGUUAAGGGUACACGUGUCUGUGGAGCGCUCAGCCACUUACACGUUAAUUUCACGAGCAGGCUGUUCCGUUGAUUCGGAUCAACCGGAACCCUCGUCGUCGUAACCAACGGAGUGAUUCCAUCCAGACAUGUAUCAUCAACAGCAUAAAUUUUAUAUUUCCAGGUUCACACAUGUUGGAUAGGAUGUCACAAUCCAAGUCACCUCUUUGCUCUUUUUAUCCUCCAAGGUGAGUUGAAGAGCCAUGUCUCAAUCAUAAAUUAAGUUUGGCAUUCUACAGCUGGAUCAUCUUUCUAUCACCAACCACUUUACACUCAGUGUAUUUCAUCGUGACAUUGGCACUAAUGAUAUUACCUUGAAUCAUGUCAGGCUUGAGAACACUCAGAGUGAAAGGCAUAUUGUAUGAUACCUCUGUACGAACAGCUAUACCACAUGACACUGAAAUAUGGCUGCAAUGCCAGACAGAACCACAUGUUUGAGAACAAAUUACUUAACUACAUAGCCAGGUAUGUGCCUAAAUAUAAAUAUAAAUAUAUAUAUAUAUAUAUAAACGCACACAUAAAUUUGGUCCCACAGAGACAAUGACAAGUGAUCGAGGCCUUUGGCAAUCUGCUGUGCUUGAGAAGACUCAUCAAACCAAGUGAAAUCAUUGUCAUGGCCAUGCUGGAGACACAUAAAAAGCACCCAUGCUGGUGACAUGUAAAAGGCACCUACUACACAACACUUGGCAUUAGGCAGAGCAUCCAGCCAUAGAGACCAUGCCAAAUCAGACUGGAACCCAGUACAGCUCUCCAGCUUACCAGUUCCAGUCAAACCGCCUAACCCAUGCCAGCAUGGAAAGUGUACACUAAACGAUGAUGAUAACACACACACACACAUACACACACACACACAUAUAUAUAUACCGUAUUUUAAUGUGUAUAAGGAACCUUUUUGUCAAAAAUUAGGUUAAAAAGAAAUGGGAGUUUCUUAUACAUGGAUAGUAUUAUAAUCCAUUGCAAAAUCUUUUUUCCAAAUUUUAAACCCUAAAAAUUAAGGGGUUCCUUAUACAUGCGGACUUCUUAUACAUGUUAAAAUAUGGUACAUACCCAUGUGUAUUUGAUACACACACACAGAUGCACAGGUGUAAAAAUUGUAAUGUAUCUAUUAGAAAUUUGAUGAUGAGAAUAUAUAUUUCGAUAUGAUUGUUGUCUGAGAAAUCUUUAGAUCCUGUGAUCUUGUUUAUAAGAGUUGUCCUUAAUCCUCAUAAUGAGAUAACAGGUUCUUGGUUUACGAUACAUACAUAUAUGUAUGCAAAGACAUACAUAUAUAUGCAUAUAUAUAUAUAACAUCAUCAUUAUUUAACGUCUGUUGUCCAUGCUGGCAUGGGUUAGCUGGUUUGACCAGGCUGGCAAGCUAGAAGGCUGCACCAGACUUUAGUGUGAUAUUAUAUAUAUAUAUAUAUAUAUAUAUACACACACUCACAUACUUGCUUGCUUCAAGCUCUAGCUUGGUGGGGCUGGAGUCAUCCUAGGUUAGUGGUUGCAAAGGUGUCUUCAUGCAUAGAGCUGACCAGGUCUACCAAUGCUCUCCAUCGCUGGCUGUCCCAUACCAGCCUCUCCACAUUCUCCAGAUGCCAUCAAGCCUCCGGAGAUCAUCUUUAAUCAAGUCCAGCCAUCUGGUGUGGGGGCCCAUACAUACAUACAUACAUACAUACAUACAUACAUACAUAAAGCAAUUAAGGGUAUGAAGACAGAGAAAGCCCCCCACCAUCCAUCAAGAAUCACUACAGAGAUGCUUAAAAUAUCUGGUGGUGUCGGCUAUAACCUAGUCACCCAUAUAGUCAAUCAGGACUAUAUGGAGUCAUACCCAAUGACUGGUGUAGCAGCACCAUUGUCAACUGCUACAAAGGUAAAAGUGAUGUGUUAGAUAUGAAUAAUGACAGAGGUAUCAAGUUGCUGGAUCAGGUAAUGAAAGUCACAUAGAGGGUUACAGUCCAACUAAUUAGGGAGAGAGAGUCAGUUUUGAUGAGAUGCAGUUCGGGUUUGUGCUAGGGAAAAGCACCACUGAUGCUAUAUUUCUUGUAAGACAGCUCCAAGAGAAAUACCUAGCCAAAGAUAAACCUCUGUAUCUGGCUUUUGUUGACAUGAAGAAAUCCUUUGACAGGGUCCCCCCAAUCCCUUAUCUGGUGGUCAAUGCAGAAACUAGGGAUAGAUGAGUGGUUAGUAAGAGCUGUACAAGCCAUGCUGUCAGUAAGGUGAGGUUUGGCAAUGAGUAUAGUAAAGAAUUCCUGAUAGGGGUAGGGCUCCACCAAGGAUCAGUCCUCAGCUCCCUCUUAUUCAUCAUAGUCCUCCGGGCAAUAACAGAGGAAUUCAAGACAGGAUGUCUCUGGAAGCUUCUCUAUGCUGAUGACCUUGCUCUAAUAGUUGAGUCACUAUCAGAACUAGAGAAGUUUCAGGCAUGGAAGCAUGGUCUAGAAUCGAAAGGCCUUAGAGUCAAUCUAGCAAAAACCAAAGUCUUAAUAAGUAGGAAGACAUACAAAUCACAAAUCCCUUCAGGAUCUGUAGGAACAGCGUAGGUAGAAACUCCAUAAGAUGUACCCAGUGUAAGCUAUGGACACAUAAGAGGUGCAGCAAUAUCAAAGGGAGACUAAAUGGGAAGACAGUUUUUGUGUGUGGCAAAUGCUUAGAGGCAAUAAACAGUGAAAAGGUGCAGAAAACAGCUUCCAUGACAUGCUAGGGAAAAAAUCUAGAAGUAGUUGAUAGCUUUCGUUACCUGGGUGAUCAAGUCAGUAGUUGGAGUGGAUGCUCUGAGAGUGUAGCUGCUAGAAUAAGAAUAGCCUGGGUAAAGCUCAGAGAGUUCCUACCUCUGGUGGUGACAAAGGACCUCUCGAUCUGAGUGAAAGGUAGAGUGUAUGAUGCAUGUGUGCAAACGGCUAUGCUACAUGGCAGUGAAACAUGGGCUGUGACUGCUGAGGACAUGUAUAAGUUUGCAAGGAAUGAAGCUAGUAUGCUCUGCUGGAUGUGUAAUGUCAGUGUGCAUACAUGACAGAGUGUAAGCACCCUGAGAGAAAAGUUGGACAUAAGAAGCAUCAGAUGUGGUGUGCAAGAGAGAUGACUGUGCUGGUAUGGUUAUGUAUUGCGUAUGAAUGAGGACAGCUGUGUGAAAAAGUGUCACACCCUAGCAGUAGAGGGAACCUGUGGAAGAGGCAGACCCAGGAAGACCUGGGAUGAGAUGGUGAUGCGUAACCUUCAAACGUUGGACCUCAGGGAGGUGAUGACAAAUAACCGAGACCUUUGGAGAUAUGCUGUGCUUGAGAAGACCUGGCAAACUAAGUGAGACCGUAACCAUGGCCUAUGCCAGUGCAGCAUAACCAGGCCAUUUAAGAGUACCUUUCAAUCAUUGGGCAAUAAACUGUGCUUGCAAAGACCUGUUGAGUCAAAUGAAGUCAUUGUCAUGGCCGAUGACAGUACCGCCUGAUUGGCACCCAUGCCGGUGGCACAUACAAAGCACCAUUCAAGCCUGGUCAAUACCAGUGCUACCUGACUGGUCCCAUGACGGUAGCAUGUAAAAAUCACGUGUCAAUGUCAGUACCUCCUGAUGGGCCAUUGUGUACAGUCUCAGAGUGGUUGGCAUUAGGAAGGGCAUCCAGCUGUAGAAACUUUGCCAGAUCAGAUUGGAGCCUGGUGCAUCCUUCUGGCUUGCCAACCCUCAAACUGUCCAAGCCAUGCUAGCAUGGAAAGCGGACAUUAAACGAUGAUGAUAAACGACAAUAUACGUAUAUAUAUAUAUAUAUAUAUAUAUAUAUACACAUAUAUAUACAUAUAUAUGUACACAUAUAUAUACAUAUAUACAUACACACGUAUAUAUACAUACAUAUAUAUAUAUAUAUAAAUAUAUAUAUAUAUAUAUAUACAUAUGUACAUGCAUAUACACAUAUAUAAAUAUAUACAAAGACAUGUUUAUACAUACAUAUGUACACAUGUAUAUAUACAUCAAUACACACACACAUAUACGUACGUACAUAUAUAUAUAUAUAUAUAUAUAUAUAUAUACACAUAUAUAAAUAUACACACACAUAUAUACAAACAUAAAUACAUACACACAUACAAAUACAUAUAUGAAGACAUAUACAAACAUACAUACAUAUACACAUAUAUAUAUAUACGCACAUACAUAUACAUAUGUAUAUACAUACAUAUAUAUGUACAUACAACCCGUGCCCGUCCAACCCGUGCUAGCGCGGGAAACAGACGUUAAACGAUGAUGAUGAUGAUGAUGAUGAUAUACAUGCAUUUAUAAAUAUACACAUACACAUACAUAUAUAUAUACCCAAAUAUAUACACAUACAUAUACAUACACAUAUACAUACAUAUAUGUAUACAUACACAUAUACAUACAUAUAUGUAUACAUACACAUAUACAUACAUAUAUGUAUACAUACACAUGUAUACAUACAUAUAUGUAUACAUAUACAUGUAUACAGACAUAUAGAAGAAGACUCAUCAAGCGAAGUAAGAGCACAGUGGUGGCAGAUACAGGUGUCAAACAAAUGGCACCCAUACCAGUGGCACAUAAUAGUACCCAUUAUGCUCUCAGAGUGGUUGGUGUUAGGAAAGGCAUCCGGCCAUAGAAACCAUGCCAGAUCAGAUUGGAGUCUGCUGCAGCCUUCCAGCUUGCCAGCCCUAGUUAAACUGUCCAACCCAUGCCAGCAUGGACAACAGAUGCUAGAUGAUGCUGAUGAUGAUAUAUACAUACACACACACACACUCACACACACAUAUAUAUAUAUAUAUAUAUAUAUAUAUAUAUACAUACACAUAUACACACACAAAUAUAUAUAUAUAUAUGCACAUAUAUAUAUACACAUAUAUACAUAUAUACAUACACAUAUAAACAUAUGUGUAUAUAUAUAUGUGCAUAUAUAUAUAUAUAUAUAUAUAUAUAUAUAUAUAUAUAUAUAUAUACACAUACAUACACCCACAUAUAUAUAUAUAUACAUAAAUACAUACAUAUAUACAAACAUAUAUAUAUAUAUAUAUAUAUAUAUAUAUAUGCAUUAUCCAACCCAUACCAGCAAAGAAAAAUCAAUGUAACAGAGAAUAUUAUGUGCAUAUGUAUGUGUGUCUAUACAGGUAUAUAUAUAUAUAUAUACACGUAUACACACAUACCUUUGCCCACACACGUAUAUGACACUGCAUCCUUUAAGGCCCUCAUGCUUUCCGAAAUCCGCCGAAACUACACCUGAUUAUAUAUACACUUUAGAUGAGUUGUAGUGCACAUGAGCACUGUACACAAUGUUUUUAUUAUUAUUAUUAUUAUUAUUAUUAUUAUAAUAUACCUAUACACUCACUCACAUACAUGCAUGCAAACAUAUGUACACUUAUCCAUAUCCAAAUAUGAAACCAUGAACAUCUACCCCAAAACAUACGAAUCACUAGACGAAGAAAUAUUUUCAGACAAUAUGAAUUUAUGUGACUGAUGUUUACGCAGUAUAUAUAUAUGGCCUGGUGCAGCCUUCGGGCUCCCCAGACCCCAGUUGAACCGUCCAACCCAUGCUAGCAUGGAAAACGGACGCUAAAUGAUGAUGAUGAUGAUAUAUAUAUAUGUAUGUGUGUUUGUGUGUGUGUCGUUGAGUUAGCUAGGCCAGGUCUGACUUCUUUGACAAGAAUGCAUACAUUUAUUCAAUUUAUUGGAAGUGUAUUAGCAUUUGCUUUUUAGGAACAGUAUGUAUAUGAGUCUGUCUGUCUAUCUAGCUAUUUCUCUAUCUAUCAGUCUGUCUCUGUAUCUGUCUAUCUUCCUCUCCCCUUCUCUCUUUCUCUCGACACACACACACAUACUUAUAUGCAUAUUCACAUACACAUUCUCUUCAUCCAUGUUAGAAUAGGAAUACAUAUAUAAUUAAUCUUUAUUUCAUUCUGUCAUAAAAUUAGAGUGAAGCAGCAUAAGUCUAGCCAAUACAUCUGUUGUCCAAAUGAUUAUGUAUGUUGAACACAAAAUGAUGGUUGCAGUUGGUCAGAGAGUAAGGUCCAGCCAAGCUAAUGUAGUGCUUUAGUCAAACCAAUAACAGUAGUAGCUUUUGUUGCAUUCACAUAAACAGCUUCUGCCUUAUAUUAAACGCAGUAUUGAGUAGUAGCUGCUAUGAUAGUAGCACUCCGAGGUUUUCAUAAAUUACUGAAGUCUGUGUGCAUACAGUUCAUGAAAUAAAAACCUUAUAAAUAAAUACGGCUACAUAUAUUGGUUAAAAUGUUUUUGGAAAUGAACGAAGAGGAACAUUAUUAUUUUUAUAAUUUUAGAAUUGCGAGAAUAGACUUGUUUUUUCUUUCAUUUGUAGAUUCCUCUUUUUAUCAAAUCACUCUAAAUUUUUAAUAUUUAAUUUUAUUUCAUGCAUAUGUAAAUCAAUAAAAUGGGUUUGUAUGAGUCUAUUGAAAGAAAAAAAAUAUUUAAAACAUAUAUGUAUACGUGCAUAUUCAGAAGAUUCUAAAUGUUAAAUAACACAUAUACAUACAUACAUACAUAUAUAUAUAUAUAUAUAUAUAUAUAUAUACACACACACACACACACAAUGUGUGUGUAACAUACACACACACACAAUGUGUGUGUAUAUAUAUAUAUAUAUAUAUACACACACAUAUAUAUAUAUAUAAUUUUUCUUAUAUAUACGUACAUAUAUAUAUAAAUGUAUGUAUAUGUUUAUGAUCAUUUAUAGAGUGGGCUUCAAUUUAUAAUUAGUGAUUACAAAUUAGCAACCAAAUAUAUAGAUGAAUAAACAUAUUGAAUUAUUUGAUAAUUAAGAUAUUAAUUAUUUAAUUCAAAUGAGGUUACUAGAAAAUAAAAUACCUAAAUUAAAUCACUGCUUUAAAGCCAUAUUUAUAAUGGAGAUUACUGAAUAUAGAAUUAAUAUCGAAUUAUAUAUCCUUUAGUUUGUUGUAGUCAUCAUGUCUGAUGCCAAGCUGGAGCAUCAUCAAACAAAGUAUAUUUGAUAUUAAUAAAGUCUCACGAAGAGAUGCUAAAUAUUUAAUCAGUUUAUUAAAGGAGUUAAAUUCUAUAUUUUAGUUCAAUAGUUUCAUUUCUUGUUUGACUGACAUUUAUAUUCAAUGAAAUUAUAACCACUGAAAGAAUAUCUGAAAAUAUUUCCAUGCAAGAUUAUGCAGUUUUUCAACAGCAAAAACACUAAGAUUUAAGCUAUAUAUGUGACCUUGGUAAAGAUGGCUGAACAAGCUGCUUGGGAUAUUCUAACGCUUGGUUGUCAAGGAUCACAGAAACCAUUCCUUUUAUUUUCAAUGUGAUUUUUUUUUUUCUACCAACACAUAUUCUCAUGAUUCUUAAAGGUAUGGAAGUAUUGAUAAUUAUAUAGAAUCCUAUAUCUUGAACAGUUAAAAAUCAGAAUUUUCCUAUUGCCUAGCUUUCUUUGAAAAACAGUAAAUUUAAUAAAUAUUCACAUUAUUAAGCAUUUUUUUUUUAAAAUAUCAAAUCUAUACAGAACAGUCGUAAUAUACAAGGGAGAUAUAGAAAAAAUCCUUUGUGGAAAUUUAUUAAGCAAAUAUCAUUAACUACAAAUUGAAUUUAUUCUGGAUUAUACAUACAAAUAUGCACACAAAAAGGCAACCACACACAUUCACAUGCACGUGUGCAUGCACACACACACACACACAUGCUCACACCCAUAUAUACAUACAUACAUACAUAUAUAUAUAUAUAUAUUAUAUUAAAUUAGAGAUAAAACCACUAUUAGGCAAAUAUCAAAUAUAUAUAUAUACACACACUUUAUCUAGCAAAAGUUUAGAAAGCUUAUUUAUAUAUCCAUAUUGAAAAUCAAUGUUAAUUUCUACUGCAGCCACCCUGUUUGCAACCAGCCACCCCCAUUUGUUGUUUAUUUCAAUAUUCAAUACAGGAAUUAAUUGUGUUUGGCAAUAAAUGAGAUUCAGGCAAAUAAUACUACAAUAGUUUUCUUUCACGCUCAGAGAGAAGAAAUAUGAUAAACUAAGAAACAUCAAUAUAUAUGUGUGUGUGUGUGUGUGUGUGUGUGGGUAGAUAUGUAUAAAUAUGUAUGCUAUCGUUUGUACAUGUAUAUGCACACAUAUACAUAUGUGAGUCCGUGUGCGUGCAUUGCAUUGUGCAUUGGAAGUAAAAUAUCAAGUACUCAAUCAAAAACGAUGGAAUUAAACUAGACUAACGCUAUCUACUGGUGGCACAUAGCAUAUGGGAAACAACUCUUUAGAUAAUGGUAAAAAUUAUGUUAAUGUGAAGUUGUUUACACUAGUAGAGAAACCAACAAAAUGCAGAAAUACAAUUAAGGGUUAUAAGAAAAAAAUAAGUAAAAAGGAGUUAUUACGUGUUGCAAAAGUAGGAAGAUGACCUCCAAAAAACAAUACAUUAGGAUAUAUAAUUUAUGACAAACAUGUUGUUACUACACAAGAAUUGAUUCUCCCCUACCAGCAUUCCUAGAAUAUAUAUUUAAAACUGUCAUCACUACAGAGUGGCACAUUAUUUAAGUAAUUUAUUUUAAAAGGAAAAUUGACAUUUUCAUUUUGGAUAAUAUAAAAGAAAUAUAUUUCUAGUUGCUUAGUCUUGAAAUUAGCUCUGAUAAAAGAGAUGCAUGAUUAAAAAAACGUUCCAGCCAUGACCAUCCUGUCUUGUUUCUGACACAAAUAUCCCAGACUACAAUAUCCAAUAUAUCAUAUUUUUAAAAUAGAAAGGUGACAUGAGGGAGAUUCUUUUGAUAUUCGUAGAAAGUUGAAUGACCACAUAGAGGCUAUAUGAUUAGCAUAGUUGUUGAGAUUGCUAAUUUUUAAAUAAGAAGAAUGUGUAGCGACAUGGUUGGAGAUAAUAUUAUUGGAGAGAACAAAUACAACCACUAUGCCAAUGACAAAGACUAUGAUGAUUAAAGAUUAAAAUAAAUAUAUAUAUAUAUAUAUAUAUAUAUAUAUAUAUACUCUUUUACUCUUUUACUUGUUUCAGUCAUUUGACUGCGGCCAUGCUGGAGCACCGCCUUUUUAGUCGAGCAAAUCGACCCCGGGACUUAUUCUUUUGUAAGCCCAGUACUUAUCCUAUCGGUCUCUUUUGCCGAACUGCUAAGUUACGGGGGCAUAAACACACCAGCAUCGGUUGUCAAGCGAUGUUGGGGAGACAAACACAGACACACAAACACACACAUAUAUAUACAUAUAUAUAUAUACGACAGGCUUCUUUCAGUUUCCAUCUACCAAAUCCACUCACAAGGCUUUGGUUGGCCCGAGGCUAUAGUAGAAGACACUUGCUCAAGAUGCCACGCAGUGGGACUGAACCCGGAACCAUGUGGUUGGUAAACAAGCUACUUACUACACAGCCGCUCCUGCACCUAUAUAUAUAUAUAUAUAUAUAUAUAUAUAUAUAUAUAUAUAUAUAUAUUCAUCUAUAUUUGUUUCAAUGAUUUAUAUUGGCUUGUUAUUAGGUGGCUACAAGCUUUUAGGGUAAAAGUGAACAUUUAAAAAUCUACUAACUUGUUGAUCACAUUCUAAAUUACAAAGAUUGGAAGUAGCAGAAUUUAAGUAGAAGUAUUAAAGCUGAAAAAUGCAAAACGUGGAACAAGAUAUUAAAAGGACAUCUAACUUAGCUGAUUAAUGUUAAGGUUAUUUAAAAAUGUAACAUGACAUUGAAAAUAUUAUCGUGCGAUGCCUAAUUUAAAAGAGAGAAUAGAGUGAGAUUUUGGGGAGUUUUUUACCAAUGAUAGCAAAUUAAAGCUGUGAUUACAAACAUUAAUAAAGGAGACUCUUAGUUACAGAAGCUAAAUCUACUUCCAAAAAUUACAGAGACAGCAUAUAAUAUAGACUUAGAUACACUAUGUCUAGCAAAAGAAAAUGAUGAUGGGUUGUGUAGUUUUAAUCUUAAAAUUCAUUGAAUUAGAACUGACUUGGAAAUAAAUAUCAACAACAAUAACAACAACAAAUAAAGCUAUCCAAAGAUGUAAUUGAGCAACCGAUCUUUUAAUUAUGCAGUAACGUAUAUUUCAAAAUUAUAAAAAUUAUGUUGACUUCUCACUUUAAAAUAAAAACUAGAAUGAUAGAGCCACUGAAGGAGCUGCUACAUGGUUGGUCAACCUGCUGGAAAUGACAACUAAACUCUCCUCAACUAACACUCAGCCAUCUCAAAACAACUCCAGAACACGUAUAAUAAUGUAAUCCUAGGUAUUCCUUAAAGAGACAGGAUCGUUCGCCCGGAACAACUACAUCAAUAACAAAAUCUAGAAUGAUUUCAACACAUAUGGGUGAAUUUUGAAACAAACAAUUUUUUUAAACUAGUGUCUUUCUUUAUAAUUUUAUUUACUUUGUGUAAAAUUGUGUAAGUAACUAAUGAAGGUGCGCAGUCUAGUGGUUAAGGUGUUCAGCUUAUGAUCAUGUUUUUGGUUUUAAUUCUCAGAUCAUGUGGUGCAUUGUGUCCUUAAAGAAGGCACUUCAUUUUUGUUCUACUCAACUCAUCUGUAAUGAGUACCAUUCCAGAUGCUGGUGCAGCCCUCUCUCCUUCUUGCUACUACAUUCUGGAUGUUUUGCUGGAUCAAGAGCAGGAGGAGUGGGAAAGAGAACAUCUAUGUCCACUCAUGAUUACACAAGCACUUAAAACAACUGGUGAAAACAUGGUACAUGAUCAAGGUCAUUGGGUGUACUUUAAAUAUGAAAUAAAAUCCAUGUUCUAGAUGAAAGAAUAGAUAAGAAAGAACAGAACUAUGGAAUAUUUAAUUUAUUAUACUGCAGUUUAGAAUAGAGUGAAUUUUGGAGACAUAAAAGAUUUUAGUGUUGAAGUUUUACUUGUACUCAAUAAAAGACAGAAUCUGGAUGAGAGAUAUCAGCCAUUUAUGACAAACAUUACUGAUAUAUCAUUCACUUGCAUUAUCAUAAUGAUUAUUGUUUUGUGGUAAUAGUUUAAAGAACUUAAUUCAGUUUCAGUACAGGGCUUCAUACAAAGUCACUUGCAAAACCAGUGUACCAAUUAUAGAAGUCAUGUAAUUACAAAAAUAUAGUAUUUCAUCAUCAUCAUCAUCAUCGUUUAGCAUCCGCUUUCCAUGCUAGCAUGGGUUGAACGGUUCAACUGGGGUCUGGGAAGCCAGAAGGCUGCACCAGGCCCAGUUUGAUCUGGCAAUGUUUCUACGGCUGGAUGCCCUUCCUAACGCCAACCACCCCAUGAGUGUAGUGGGUGCUUUUUACAUGCCACCCGCACAGGUGCCAGACGAGUCUGGCAAACGGCCAUGAUCGGAUGAUGCUUUUUAACACAAAUAAUCCCUCUCUCUCUCUCUCUCUCUCUCUCUCUCUCUCUCUCUCUAUCUAUCUAUCUAUCUAUCUAUCUAUCUAUUUAUCUAUCUAUCCUCUGUGUGUGUGUGUACAUAUGGAUAGAUAGAUAAACAGAUAAAUUUUAGGUAAUUAACUUACUUAUGUUUAUUUUACAGCCAAAUAAAAUUUAACAGAUGGGUAACUCAACUGAAUCAUAAUCUACUUCUAAUCAUUCAUAAAUUGUCAACACUCAAGCAGUUUUAUGUUAUGUGAUGAAAAUAUAAAAUACAAGCACCUAUAUAGAGCAGUUCCUCAUAUAGAUUUACUAACAAACAUCAAAACGGAAACUUUUCUUGAUUUUUGCAAUUAUUCACUACAAAAAGAGCAAAACAAAAAAAGCAAAAAAAAAAAAAAAAAGUGAGCUGAGAUUAAAUUCAAAGUCAAGUCUGCAAACUUCUUACAAAGUCAUUAUGAAUUUUAUUACUUGCUUCAUAAAUCAAAUAAAUUAUUAGUUUCGACAAUAAAUGGUACCUAAUAUAGGCACAGGGGCAUGAAUUUCACAUGAGAAUAUAGUAAAUUACAUUGAUGUCAAAUACAUGACAGGUAUCUUGUUAUACUGGUCUUAACAGGUGGAAAUGCAAAAUGGGAUUUAUAAGUAAAUACCACAAAGCAUUUAGUAUGCUGCUCAUCUGAUUUGGCAAGUUCUACACACUCAACAAUAAUUUACUUGUGACUUAAGUCUGUAUAAAUCCAGUUUAGUCAAUCUCAAUCAAAACUUGGCUGGUUGUGAGAGUCAUAGCUUUAGCAAGCAAUAACAUGGUAAGAAUCAUAUUUAUAUCAGGUUUAGCAAAAAUAAUUACAAUAAAACAAAUUAUAAAAAGAUUAACCCUUUUUGUACCGUAUUUAUUUUGAGAUGCUCUGUGUUUCUUUCAAUUACUUUAAAUAUAACAAAGAAUUUAGUAAAAUAACUUAGCAAUAAUUAAGCAGGUGUUAGGAACAUAAAUUGUGACUAAGGUUUGGUGGAAGAUUUUAAUUCAAAACUUAUGGAAACAAGACAUUUGUACUACAGAGCCAAAGGCGGUUUUGGCCAGGUUGGUAUCAAAAGGGUUAAGAAUGCUAUUUUUUAAAUCAUGUGUGAUAGUGAAUAAUUGUAUUAUUGGUCAUAGAUUUCCAACAGGUAAUCCCCUGGCUUAGUGCAUUUUCAGUAGUAAGAAUGACAAGGGUAUGCCUUGGCAGCUUGAAUAGAAUAAUGUCACAAAGUAUUUUUGCUUAACAGACAUCAGUUUAUCAGCAUUCUUCUCACUGAUGUCUAUGUCUUUCACUGAUAAGAAAACAAAAGAAAGAAUUAACAGAAUAUCAUACAUGCAGUCCCAAAACGUGGUUUUCAGUAAGAUGUAAGAACUAGCAAUGAUAAUAAGAUAGUGACAACAAGAUAAUUUUAUUUGCUUUCGUUUCAAUGGCUAAAGUGAUGUUUAGUGAAGUAACAAAUAUUGUUCAGUGAUCUAAUGUAAUAGCAAAGAGUUAACAUACUAUUAGGAGGUGUUAUAUAGUAUCUAUACAUUUGAAUAAAGUGAAUAAUUAUUAUGAAAAAUUGAAAAAAGGAGAUCCUUUAGUAAAUAAAACAGAAUUUUAAGAUCUACAUGAUAAUUGCAGAAUUAUUUUAACUGAAAUAACGUCUCGAUUUAAAAACCCUUCUAUAUAUAAAUCUUAUUAAUCAUUGAGUUAAAAGCGUAAUGUUAUGAAAUAUCAGAUACGUCUUAAAUGGAGAAGAGAUUGAAUACAAUACAUUUUUAAAUAUAGAAAAUAUGAUUUGAAUAUGGAAACAUAGUUCAAGGGAAAUAAUCAGCUUCAUGUUAGAGUUAUUUCCCUUAUAAUUAAAUUCGAUUUUUACUUCAAAAAACCUAAUCAAAGUAAAAAAAAAAAAAUUAAAUAGAAAAUUAAAACCGAACAGAUUAAAGAAAAUUGUCUAUUCUAAUAAAGCAGUAUACAUUCGAUACUAAAUAUAUGGGUACUGACUGAAACCUAUAACUAAUGACAUUCUUUUGGGUAAAAGAAAAAAGAGUUGCUUGAAAUUUUAAGAGAGAAAAAUAAUUUCAUAGCGAUUAAAUUGAAACUUGAAAUAACUCAUUUUAACAAAUAACAAAAAGAACCCCUUUACAUUGAUUAAUACCCAAUAUUUGAUUUUCAAACAAAUAAAGUAAUAUUAGAAUUAUCAGCAUUAAUUUGAGAUAGGAAAAUCGAAACAACUCCUGGCAGGUAGAACCUUAUCUUUGAUACCUGAUUUGGUUACUAUCUUAUCAGUUACUUGUUCUUCUUCUUUCACUUCUGUUAAAUAAUUAAAUCUGUUUUUCAGCUAUCUGAUAUAUAAUACUGUUUCUGAAUAUUACUGAGUGUAGAUACAAACAUACAAAAUACUGAUAUAUUAAGAAAUAUGAAAUUCAUACCCACUGAAUCAUUACUACACAAGAAGUAUAAGAAACAGAAAUUCUACAAGCUGUAUAUAUUCUUUCAUUCUUUUACUGGCUUCAACCAUUGAACUGUAGACUAAACAGGAACACUGCCUUCAAGGAUUUUAGUUAAUUAUAUUGACCCAGUUGUAUAAAACCAUUAGGAAUAAGGAAAUAAACCAGUUUACUAACACACAAUUAUAACAGUCUUUUCUCUUAAGUCAGUUAUGAAUUGAGAAUAUAUACCUUUAUUUAUAAAAAUAUAUGUAGACUUGUUGUAAAGUAAUUUGAGUUUAAAAACUCUAUUUGUAAGGAUGCCAACUAGAUAAUCACAACUUUCCACAUAAUCAUUCUUCUUGUUUUGAGACAGCAUUCACCCAGGGUGGGCUGAGCUGGCUUACAUCUAAUGAAGCUAUGAUUAUAUGCUUCUGUAUUUAUAAACUGGCAGAGUAAUAUUAAAAACAAAGAAACUGCUUUAGUUAUUAUGUGGUCGCUCAACUGACUACAAAAUGUAAUCAGAUUUUCAUCAAAUCACACCCUACCAUCUUUUGAAAGGAGGAACCUAAUGCAUUAAGUAGUCCUAAAUGCACUACGCUUAUAAGACAGAAUGGUCAUGGCUGGAAUGUCUUUGACCAUAAGUUUGCUCAAUUAGGGAAUGACAUGGGGCUCACAAAAAAAAACAACAAUAACAACAUCAUAAAUCAAUAAUUACUCCACAAACUGUCUCCCACAACAAAAGCAUUCCAGCAAAAACGAUGCUUUUAAUUUUUUAGUUCAGAGAGAUGAGAUAAGGAAGAUUUAUCUCCCUUCUGAUCUGUUAACGCCAAAUACAUGUUUGAAGGUCAUUCGCAUUGGCACUUGUUUAUAUAGACAGUUAUUAAGUUAAAGAUGAUGAAAAGAGAGGUAUUAGCAUCAUGAAGAAAUGUUUGGGUCAACAAGUUAGUUUGAUUUGUGUGUGUGUGUGUGUGGG
rnacentral:lncRNA from 1 species